UAGGGAAUCUUCCACAAUGGACGCAAGUCCGAUGGAGCAACGCCGCGUGAGUGAAGAAGGGUUUCGGCUCGUAAAGCUCUGUUGUUAAAGAAGAACGUGGGUAAGAGUAACUGUUUACCCAGUGACGGUAUUUAACCAGAAAGCCACGGCUAACUACGUGCCAG
rnacentral:rRNA from 1 species